rnacentral:rRNA from 1 species
GAUCAUGGCUCAGGAUGAACGCUGGCGGCGUGCUUAACACAUGCAAGUCGAACGAAGCACUUUAAUUGAUUUCUUCGGAAUGAAGUUUUUGUGACUGAGUGGCGGACGGGUGAGUAACGCGUGGGUAACCUGCCUCAUACAGGGGGAUAACAGUUGGAAACGACUGCUAAUACCGCAUGGUGCAGGGGUAAAAACUCCGGUGGUAUGAGAUGGACCCGCGUCUGAUUAGCUAGUUGGUGGGGUAACGG